rnacentral:lncRNA from 1 species
CUUGAUCUCAGAUGCCCACUUGAAAAAAGAACAGUAAAAAUACAGCCCGUACCCAUGUGUGAACAGGCUGCUGAUGAGGUCUUCCCUCCUCAUGUCUAGGCCUUCGGACUGCAGGCCUUCUCUCCUAGGGGUCUUUUCCCACCCCCACACUCAGGAGCGUGUACAGAUGUUCCCUCUUCCUCCAAGAAAGUGUACCUGAAAUAUGCCAUACGUGUGCCCAGGAGCCACAGCCACAAGCAGGGACAUCUCAACCUCAGGACCUCUGCAUGGCAUCAUCAAGGAGCCAGAGACCCAGAAAGCCUGGAUGCCAAAGGUCACGUGGAGGUAAACAGGAAGCAUAGAACCCCAGGUGCUGUCAGGAGCUACCUGACAACCACAUGGGAAAUCAUUCCGAAGGUGAAACUGCCACAGAGAGCGAGAGACACAGCCCCGGUGACUUUAUCAACCUCUGGAACAAACUAGCCUGAAGCCCUUCCUAUCUCUUGACUUUACAGGUCACAUAGCACCAGAGCUCAGCAUCUUCAGCUUCUCAAUAAAUAAGAGAGUGCAUGAAAAGCAGCAAUAUACAGGUAAUCCUUAAAAAGGAAAGCUUCUCCCUUCUUCCCUUUCCUGUUGCAGUCAAAGCAAUUUCACCUACACCAUCAAAAGAUGGAUUUCUAGAUUGCUCAUGGAGAAAUAUACUUGUUAGCCUGGACUGUUUGGGGCUUUUUCAAAUAGUUGCAUGCCUUGGGAGAUACGAUUGAUAGAAGAUGUGGCACACGAACCAUUUGGAGUACAGAGAGGCACUGGAACACUAGCUACUGGGUUGAGUUGAAAACUGAGAACCGGUUUAGUUAAGAUUUUAUUAAUUACUUUUCCAUGAUUCCACUUGCUGCUUGGGACUCGCAUAAGCAAGGAUAGAGAAUCCAAUGGAAAGGCAUUUUCAUGGGUUGGAAAGCAAAUCUCUCCUCCACAGUGUGAUUCAGGGACCCAGGUGCCUCCCGCUUGGUGGCUCUCCUCAACCCCAGCUGGAGUCCCUGUGGGACACAGGGAGCUCAGGAGCUUCCAUAAACA